AGUGAACGCUGGCGGUAGGCCUAACACAUGCAAGUCGAACGGCAGCACAGUAAGAGCUUGCUCUUACGGGUGGCGAGUGGCGGACGAGUGAGGAAUACAUCGGAAUCUACUUUUUCGUGGGGGAUAACGUAGGGAAACUUACGCUAAUACCGCAUACGACCUACGGGUGAAAGCAGGGGAUCUUCGGACCUUGCGCGAUUGAAUGAGCCGAUGUCGGAUUAGCUAGUUGGCGGGGUAAAGGCCCACCAAGGCGACGAUCCGUAGCUGGUCUGAGAGGAUGAUCGGCCACACUGGAACUGAGACACGGUCCAGACUCCUACGGGAGGCAGCAGUGGGGAAUAUUGGACAAUGGGCGAAAGCCUGAUCCAGCCAUACCGCGUGGGUGAAGAAGGCCUUCGGGUUGUAAAGCCCUUUUGUUGGGAAAGAAAAGCAGCAGGUUAAUACCCCGCUGUUCUGACGGUACCCAAAGAAUAAGCACCGGCUAACUUCGUG
rnacentral:rRNA from 1 species